rnacentral:rRNA from 1 species
GAUGAACGCUGGCGGCGUGCCUAAUACAUGCAAGUCGAGCGAACAGAUGAGGAGCUUGCUCCUCUGACGUUAGCGGCGGACGGGUGAGUAACACGUGGAUAACCUACCUAUAAGACUGGGAUAACUUCGGGAAACCGGAGCUAAUACCGGAUAAUAUAUUGAACCGCAUGGUUCAAUGGUGAAAGACGGUUUUGCUGUCACUUAUAGAUGGAUCCGCGCCGCAUUAGCUAGUUGGUAAGGUAACGGCUUACCAAGGCAACGAUGCGUAGCCGACCUGAGAGGGUGAUCGGCCACACUGGAACUGAGACACGGUCCAGACUCCUACGGGAGGCAGCAGUAGGGAAUCUUCCGCAAUGGGCGAAAGCCUGACGGAGCAACGCCGCGUGAGUGAUGAAGGUCUUCGGAUCGUAAAACUCUGUUAUUAAGGAAGAACAAAUGUGUAAGUAACUAUGCACGUCUUGACGGUACCUAAUCAGAAAGCCACGGCUAACUACGU